rnacentral:rRNA from 1 species
UACGUAGGGUGCGAGCGUUGUCCGGAAUUAUUGGGCGUAAAGAGCUCGUAGGCGGUCUGUCGCGUCGAUCGUGAAAACUUGGGGCUUAACCCUGAGCUUGCGGUCGAUACGGGCAUGACUGGAGUUCGGCAGGGGAGACUGGAAUUCCUGGUGUAGCGGUGAAAUGCGCAGAUAUCGGGAGGAACACCGGUGGCGAAGGCGGGUCUCUGGGCCGAUACUGACGCUGAGGAGCGAAAGCGUGGGGAGCAAACAGG